GAGCAAUGAAUGCUUCCUGCUGAAUGCAGAACUGAUCAAGGGGACUUCUAUUGUUUCUGAUCUCAGCUGGCAUUAGUAUCUAUAAACAAAGCAACUUGUGCUUUUGAGAACAUUCUGAACUAAGACAACCCAUGCUAUAAACAGGUCUCUGUUGACCUAUGAUAUGGUCAACAAUCACCAUGACUACAAAAUGUGUUUUGAGAUUCUGUCUCUGUGAGAGAUCUCUUCACAGAUUUACCUUUCUUGUUCAAGAAAGCCUUCUGACCACAACACUUGUGUAACUACAUCUCUCAACCAGGCAGGCCCUGAAGCACAACAGAGGCUGUUACAGACAUGGGUUAGGUAACUUGCUCACACUAAGACAAGACAACUUGCUAUCCAAACUAUCCAAACUCACCUGCUCCCCAAAAACACAGACCUGCCUCCCACAGUUCUUAGUUUUUUGAUAGGUGCAAUUACAUACAAAAGCUUCUCAGGCAAGUUAAAGGAGAGUACUCCAACUGUGACUCUGGAGCCUACGUAAACUCUUUUGUAAAUAACCAAGUUCACAGCCAUGGCUGAGUGUGAAGGAAGAGAGUGCCUUUGAGGUCCCUUAUGAAAAGAGGGAAAGCAGCUCCUGGCUGCAGCUACAACCUUUCCAAAAUCUUAAUUUAACUGGAUAUUGCAAAGCAUAAUAUAACGAAUUAUUCUGUUUGGUUUCUUAUCAGUAGGUAGGAGGCAAUUGCUCAAGAAGUGGUUAAUAAUGCUAAUGGCAGACAUACAUCCAGAUCUGGGACACCCAGCACAAGAAAUUAGUGGAACUUCUGUUCUGCCUAGAGAAGGUUCUGGGAGGGAGACCUCAUUGUGGCCCUCCAAUACUUAAAGGGAGCUUAUAAUCAGAAUGAAAAUUAACUUUUUAUGUAGGUAGAUAGAAAUUGAAUGAGGGGGAACAGUUUUAGACUAAAAGAGGGGAGAUUUAGUUUAGAUGUCAGGGAGAAGUUUUUCACUGAGGAUGGUGUAGCACUGGCACAACUGCCCAGAGAAGCUGGGGAUGCUGCAUCCCUGGAGGAGCUUGAGGCCAGGCUGGAUGGGGCCCUGGGCAGCCUGAGCUGGUGAGGGGGGCAGCCCUGCCCAUGGUUGGGGUUGAGACUGAAUGGGCUUUAAGGUCCCUUUCAAUUAAUGCUAUUCCGUAAUUCUCUGAUAUUACUUCUGGUGAACAAAACUAAGCCUUUCUUACUGGUGUUUUCUUAGGCUUGUGAGUCCUGUUACCUUCUGUAUGGCUUUUUGGCUGAAGUGUUUUUAAUGAUUCUGAACAUGAAAAGUGUUUUUAAUGUUUGCACAAACUGAAGAAAAAGGUUACUGGAAACAAAAAGCGAUCAUAUAUUAAGAAGUUAAUUCCUUGAGCAAUUAUUUGCCAGGAAACAAAGCCCUUCCAUCCUGAAGCGAUGCUGUGGGCAACAAUGUGACACGGGAGCUAACCAAUGCUUUCUUUUGGCGGGUUGGUCUGGAUCUCCAGAGGUCCCUACCAACAACUCUGUGAUUCUUUUAAUUCAAACAGAUAUGGCCUCAUGUGUUGUAAGCUAGCUUACAACAUAAUUUCAUUCAAGAGAACUGCUUUGAUCCCAGUUCCAGGAUGUCACAGUGCACCUGCUGUACGGAGGUACCCACAGGUCAGCACACCCACGAGUUCUGAGAUGAGGCCCUCGCGGUCCCUACGUGUCACGGGUAACGCGGUUCCCUACACAAGUUACACGGAAACUCGGUUCUGCUUCUCGGAGAAUGACGAUGAUGUGUCAGCACGGAGUUCCCUUGCUACCGCUCCAUUUUUAUCCUUGAAGGCCACCAGAAUUAAACCCAGGGAAAUCCUCUCCUCCGCCUCACGCAGAGCGGGCACGGCGCCGGCGGGCACAGAGCCCGGAGCGGCCGGCCUUACGGCCCUGCUUCCCUCACCGAGCGGCUGAAGGACACGGCGGCGAGAGCCGCAGAUGCGCCACGUUACUCGAGGCCUUCCUCGGGAGUCGGAGGCCCGUCCCACCCGCCAGGCCUACUCAGCCCGGCGGUGCCGCCACCCACCUUCAUGGGAUCGGCGAGGUAGAGCUUCUCCGCGGCGCGAGUGAACUCCUCCCAGGCCUGGUAGUGCGGCAUGGCGGGGCCGACACGGCGACUCGCUGCCCGCCGCUACGCUUCGUUCCGCUCCUCCCGGCGCCGGCAAGAUGGCGCCGUAGGCGGGCACCGCCUCACCGCGAAAGGACGCCUCCCAUUGGCCGGCGGGAAGCGGCUGCCCAAUCACGAAGUGCGUGACUCAGAGAUUGCGGCCCGGCCAGGAUAGCGCAGUCAACACAGCGACCCCGCCGGGAGCGGCGGGCUGCGGAAAGGCUGACGCUGGUGGCGGCACCGCCUUCUCCGAGGGUUCCCCGGUUCGAGUCCCGCGGCAGCCCGACGUUGGGCGCUCCGUGGGGGCCGUUCCCUCGCUGGCUGACGGGAUCCGGCCGUGAGGGAGUGCGUGUGGCCCGGUCACUGGUACCCAUGGAGGAGUGUGGGAACUGGGCAUUAGCUCCAGCCUAGCGUGUGAGCAGUGCCACAAACAGCGAAAUUAAAGGGAAAAUAUGGGCAUGGUGUUUGCUGGUAGUUUUGCUGUCAUGCUGCUUGAGAACCCACCUUCAGAAACGUGUCGACUUCCAGAUCAACAGCUCUUAUCAAAGGCGAUAGAGAGAUUGGCAGAGUCUGAACCAGCUCUCCAAACACAGAACCUACCCUGGAGGGAACGCUCCUCUGUCAUCUUACAUCUGGGGCAGCCAUUUAUAACUGCAGGGUAGGACUUGCUUUAGGUUUUAUAGACAAGAAGGGCUGUAGGUAUGUGACAGUGAAAGGUGUGGGAGGUGCAAACCCUGUAACACAACCCAGCGUUUCACAGAGCCGUGGCACACCAAGUUUGGAAGCUGGCUUUCAAAUCAGACACGGAUCUUUUCUUUCUGCAGGAGGAAUCCCAGGUUUGCAUUGUCUAAUUGGGAGCAGCUUUGGGUUGGUUUUUAGAGGAUUUUCAUCUUAAUGCAAAUGUUCAAGAUCCUCUGUACAUUCUUCAACACGAGAGCUGGCUUAAGAGCUUGUCAGUGCUUGGUUAUUGGCCUCAUCAUCCAUGAUUUCUUCAGUUAAGCCACUGACAGAGAAUGGUUGAGGAAAACACCAUGUUUUGGUAUUUCUUUUUUCUUAACCAACAUAAUUUCCGAGAUCCAGUUUAGGAUGUAGCUUCUAGAAUUCUCAUCUUUAGAGAUGGCGAACUGAGGCAGCCAGGACAAGAAACUGAGAGAGGGAUUUCUUCAUUGCCUUAUCUCUGAAGGAAACGUGGUGUGUCCCUCUGACAGCAGACACACGGUGUGACGUGUGGUUCUACAUAGCGUGUUCUUGGCUGCAGGCUUUAAGGAUUUCCUGCUCUCUGCCACUGCCACCUAUGGCCCCACACUUGUGCUGCCACAGCUGUUUGUGACUCCGAGCUGGGGAUCAAACCAAUGACCUCAAAUGGAUUAAAAGCAGCACCAUUUUUAGUAACACAUUUUUUUUAGUCGAGAUCGGUUCAUUUUUCCAGGUGACUCUAUGACCGUAUGGACUGUUGUGCUGACGUAGCUGUUGCCACCAAAAAAAGGUGCAUUUUCAAGACAGGAUGUGGGAAUUCCUACUGUUUUUGCUGGCUUGGCACCAAAAGCAGGGGGUUGUAUGUGAACACCCCAGCUCUCCUGGAAGAGAAGCUGUUUGCUGAAAUCUCAACAAUUAGAAAGAUAGAUAGGCUAUUUCCAAAACUCAGUGAGUAUCUGAAAGCAGGAGCUGGCGUGCUGCUCCUCUGCGUUCUCAUGUUGACUGAAGAACAGAACAUUUUCCUGACAUGUUUGAAAAGUCACGCAGACCGUUGCAGUUAUUCAUCUGUGAGUUGUAUUUUAUGUGCGUCCAAAACUGUAUUUUUCAAGUGAGUUCUGGCGAAUGCAGUAAUAGUAGAGAUCUUUCAAUGGGCUUUUUGUUUGGUGAAAUAAAAAGAGCAGUUGUUUAUCGCUGUGUGAAAUAUUUGAUAUUUAGCCAAUAAUAAUUUAGCAGUUAGAAAGAAUUCUGCUAAAACACACUUACUUAUCUUGCUUACUUUUCUUGAGCUCCUGCUUUCUUUCAUGCAAGGAAUCAUUCCAGCAGGCCAGUGGCUAUUCUGUCACUAAGUGAAAUUUAGAAUGCUACAAAACCUCACUGACCCUUUCCUCAGUCUCCUUUUAUAUCCUUGCUAUAUCCCCUAGGCCACCUUAGAUAAUGUCUUCUUAGCUUGGAUUUAAGGCCAUAAAGAACUAUGAAGCAAUAAUAUAAGUACUUGCAUGAUGAAGAUUUUUCGUGUGGUUUUCCCUCGGGCCUUUCCCCCUCAUCCAACGCGUAUAUACAUGAUGAAUGAUCUCUCUUUGAUCAUGCUUCUACAUGUAUUGCCACUGCAAGUCCUGCUCUGUGUAGUUAUGUUCAGGCACCUGGAUUCCACAUGGAAAGGUCGUUAUUUUUUUUACAUAGUGUCUUCCUUUGCAUAAAGGGAAAAAAACAAACAAACAAACCUGAAAGAAAACAGUAGAAAAAAACCUUGCACUGUGUCUUAAAAUAUCAUCAACUGAGAUCUUGUGUCUUGAGUUUAGAAAGAUCAUGGAAACUGUAGCUGCUCAGCAUUGCUCAGGGCUCAAUGUUUUGUUCCUGUUUGUUCAUUAAUGCUUUUAUUGAGUCUAAAGCAGGUGCUGUACUACUAUUGGCAAGUGUAUUUUUUCAAGUAAGUGUAUAGAACUCAUUAAAACAGUUCCCUAUCACCAUAGCAUACUGCUGGUGGUUUUUUUCCAGCUGCAAGUAGCUUUGUAUAGAACACUGUGUGUUAUCAUGAUAAAUGAUGGUUGCGAUGGAAAACAACAGGACAAACUCUGAUCUCAGGUGGGUUGGGCUUUUUGUUUUUUCUUUUUUUCAUAUCUGUAACAGUUUAAUUAAGAACAAAAGUUGGUGCUGAGAUGAUGAUGAUGCUGUUCUUGGAACAAGAGCAACAUAAAGUCAGUGGAGGUAUACAGAUCUAAAAAAAGUUCUAAUAAGGAGUUGGUUACGAGGCAAUUAUUCCUGCCAGGAAUGCUUAAUGCUUUAAGGAGAUACAGUCAGUUCUUUCAAAAUACCUUCCCGUGGUGAAAUUAAAGGAAAAGCAUGGGCAUGGUGAUCACACAUUCCAUUCUUGUGUGUGUAUGUUCUAAAACGGCUUGGGAUUUGUACUGAUGCAAGCUUUAAUUAUACGGGCUUAUUUAAGUGCAAAAGGAUGCAGAUAGAUCUCGAGGACAGGAAGCUCAGCAGUCUUUGACAUCUCAUUGGUUUCUGAGCCUCGGUACCCCUGAGAACUGAGUCUGCAGUCAGAAGCAGUUGAUGCUUCUGGAUGGGUUAUAACAUGCCAAACUGAGCUACAGCUUUUUCAUUCUGCAGCUCUUGAAGGAGCACAAAACACACUGCUGCUUUCUAUGGGUUUUAAACAGCUUGGUUAAUGGUUUUGCCAGGCUGAACAGCAUAUGAUUAAUUACAUCAGUGCUAAUUUCCUACCUUUCUUGUACAUAAGCAUUUAAUCAAGUGAUUCAGACUCAUCUUGUCCUAACAACAACAUAAUUAAAUAUUGGUGUAACUGAGCAGAAGUAUGGCUUAUGGCAAUGAAGGCUGUAUGGGGAUGACAGGAUUCUGGGCUGUUGUUCACGAAUCUAUGUUCCCGUCACAGCAACUAGCCAGGAUGAGACCUGAAUGCCCAUUAAUUUCCUUCCUUUUUCCCCAGUGACCUUAUUUCUGAGAAAGGAAACACACUCCAAACAAAUCCCUGGGUCACUGGGGAAUCGGUAGCCUUGGCCGUACCAUCGUCUGUGUUUGCCAUACAUUUUAGCCGUAGCAUUCCCCACGGCAGCAUUAUCUGCUAGUUUGCUCUAACCAUUUGAAAAAAGACACUGGGCAUUUAAUAUGGUUUAGUCUAAUCUUGCUCUAUCUUAGGGUGUUUAUAUAGGUACGUGUCAAUAGCCAUUGCAUGAGCCAGAGGGCUGUCCCUACGUAUGUCCGUGUUGCCAUCCUGGCCUUAAUAGAAACUGCUGUUUCAUUUUUGUAUGCUGUUCUGAUGCAGUUCUUGUUAAGUUCUUUGUUUCUGAUAGCUAGAAAGAUAUAUCCCUUCCUGUUAAGUGGUCAGUUUUACUCCCCUCAGCAUAAUAGUGCAUUUAAAUUAAUGUCUUGUUAUGCAAGAGACAUAUGUUGGAGAGCAGACUGUAUCUUGUCAUAACGUUGACUGUUGAGAUUUGAGAAUGAAAUAGCAGUCCUCACGAUGGCCUUCAGGGUAAAGAGGAGCACAUCUGGUAGACAGCUCAUGGACCAAUAUGUCAAACAGGAAGCAGACAGGCACUCAGCGCUAGCUACUCAGAUUUCAUGUCGUCAUUACAUGAAGUUUCUGUGCAUGCUUAGGAUUGGGUUAGAUCAUCAGUUUGUACAGACUAGAGGUGCACUGAUUUCUUAUGUUAAUCUUUAAAUAGAGACAUUUUCUACUCGAUAGAUGUGUCUGAAGUCUAAUUUACCAGUGAUGUUCAUGCUGCCGUGGCUGAUAGAAUUGAAUAGUACAAUCAAUGGAAUGGACAGGCCAUAUUAGAUGCUUAUGGCGAUACCUUCCGAAGUCAUCUGGACCAAAAUGACUGCAUAGGUGGUAAAAGAACUGUAGGUACUUCUAACUACAUUGAUUUCUAAGACUAAGCUACGUCUCAGCCCAUAAGAUGUUUGAGUACCAUAAGAUUAUUUGAGCAUCCUCGUGAGUUAGCUGUGUUGGUAAAAGGGGUCGGUAGGCCCAGCCACCUGUCAUUGCCUUUUCCCAGGAAUUAAUGCCCUCUCCCAAUCUGUUUACAGAGAUGCUUGUUGUGAGUGCCCCUUAACCCACUUCAAUCAAACUAGGUUAGCAAAAACCUCCCACUUAAUCCAUUUAAGCUAAGUCUGGCUCAGGUUGACCAAAAGUAGGUUAGGGGGUGCCCACACGAGCCUCUGCAGGCAGAGCUGAAGAGGUGGUGAUUUCCACAGGAAGAAAUAGGAUGAGCUGAGCCGGGGAAGUGGAUCUGAAUCAGCAGCUUCUUCUAUCCCCUCAGCUGUGGCGGAAGAGGAUGGAGCGGGGCCUGCUCCACACACAGGGCUGCGCUGGGCCGCUCAGCAGGCAGCACGACAUCUGAAGCUGCAGUAGCACAGCUGUUAUCCCAUACACCCAUUCUCAUCAUCACAACAGUAAAAAAAAAAAAAAAAAAAAAAAGCUUUGUGAAGAGCAGCUGUUGCCUAGAGCGCAGAGCAAAGCCUCUGCGAGCUCCUGCACUUCCACUGAGUGUUGGUUCUUGGUCGAGAGUUGGUGCAGGUGGAGCUCACAAUUGAGUUUGACAAAGUGUCAGAGUAGAUGCUCAGUAUUGGCAUUGCCAGUUCCUAAAACAACCACAGGCAUGCACAUUGCUCCUCUGAUGCCUACAGUAUGGCAGCUUCCGAUAGAAUAUAUCUGAUACAGAGCUUGUGUAGCUGUCAGGCUUGCAGGCCCACAUAGAGCAUAUGCAAAAGCUGGGAUCUGAGCUGGAAGUGCUUCCGUACUUCCAACAUAUGGUGUUGCUGUUACGAUCCCUGUCAAGGAAAUAGCAAGCAUUUACCUGGCCCAUCAACAGGCUUUAGUCUGCAGGGAAAUUUUAACUUCAAAUCUCUAAGUCUAGCAUUUUCAUAACAUUUGGAGAUGUUGAAAAUAGGAAAGGGGAGCUCGGUAGGGUAUAGGUGUGGGAGCAGGGAGAAUGUUGUAUAAAUGAUACGUCAGGGCUGUGACUUUGUACCAAAGGGCUCGUUCCUCACAAGAUUUGAAGUGUGUCCUGACCACUGCAUCCUUGAUAAAGUAUUUUCCUCUCUACAUUAGCAACUUUUAUUAUUAUUAUUAUUGUUAUCACCCAAAUCAAAUAAGUCAAAAUCCAAGCGAUCUACUUUAGGAAUGAAUUAGAAAGCAUCUGCUUCUUUCAUGAGGCAGAAUUUUAGGGGUUGCACAGGUGUCAGAAACAUGUAUGAAAGGAUUGUGAGUGAAUGAGGAAAUACCUACUGCUCUCUUCGUUUUAGGGUGGAGAGGAAGAUGAGAGGCCUGCAGGAAACUCACAGCCUGGUGCUGACGCUCCCUCCCCAUCUCCCAGCCUGCUACCUCCUGCUGGAUGGGAGGAAUGGGAGCUGGGAAUGGUAGCUGCAUGUUUUCUGAGGAAUCUCUAUACCAGAUCUCUAUUUAUCAGGAUUCAGCCAAUCAGUGUCCCCUCUAAGCGGCACAAAGAGAUGAGGCAAGGCAGCGCAUCUGCUCAUACAUAUUUCAAAUCCUUUAUUCUUUUUUUUUUUCACAGGCCUGUUUUCAUUUUUCUUCUAAAACAGUUACAGUAAAUCUCAGUGCCCUAAAGCAAACUCGUCUUCUACACAGUUUACUCUUGUUGACUUAAAAACAAGAAUCAUGAGGAAGAUUUGCCAGCCUAGCAUUUGCCAUGCAAAAUUUACAUGCAGCUGCUUUGAACUAAAUUCCCAGCAGAAGUGAGAGGAUUUUGAGGCUUCCAGAUCUUAGCAGGCUGGUGCUUUUUGCAGACAGAAAUCUGUAUGAUAUAUACUUCUCUAGAGAUCCCUCCCUGCCAGCUAGGACUGUACUAUCCUGCUCCAAUCCCAGGGAGACAUAUUAUCGGCUUAUGGGAGGGGAUGCUUCUGGACCAAGAAAGUUAAUUAGCUUUGCUUGGGAAUGCCUUCAACUGAAGUAACUGAUUAUAUUCUUGAGGGGAGGAAAAUUCUUAUCUUUAGAGCUGAAAACAGCAAAAACAUGCAAAUCUGUGCAAGUCUUGAUGCCCAUUUCUCGUCUGUGGGGCAGCACUCUUCUCACACGCAGGGCACAUUUUCCAGCAGUUCUGCAGUUGUUGUAUAUUGAAUCAUAAAUCUAGUCUUACAGAUGGAGAAAAUGCCCAGGAGUGUUUGAAGGCUGUUUUCAAAUCAGGUGUUGAUGAUUUCAAGUAAGAUAGUCCUACCUGCCUGAAUCCACUCCUCACAGUAGCUGAGAAUCUGUUGACACUGAUAGUGGUUUUUUUGGUAACGAAACCAUGAUCUAAUCCAGGAUCAGUGGUAAACAGGUGGUUAGCUGUUUAGGCAUGUAAGGUAGCUAAGGCAAUCAAGGUAGUGUAGUCCACUGACUUUUCCAGCAUUGGCACAAGCGACCUCUUCACUCUUCAGUGGCAAUGCUGACUUCAGCGUGUGGAAGCUCUUCUCCUUAGGAGCAAGAUCAAUUAAGUGCCCCAUAAAUCUUCUUAUGUAUUCCAUUCAUUCCUCAGAGAAGUAUCAUGAGGGUUAAUUAUUUCUCUGCUCUGACUCAGACAGUGAUUUCGUGCCAGAGGAUUCUGGCAGUAAGUAUAAUCCUAGUGAUACCCUCUGUGAGGAAACCAUUGUUAACAAUGUUGAUGAGGAAGCGCUAAUGGAAGCUGAACCGGAGCCUGAUAUAGAAAUCGAGAGACCUAAGGCAAACAAAGGGAAGAGGUUGGAAACCUUGCUGUUUGCUGCCUUCCGUAGCACAUCUUGUGAAAAAUAACUCAUUGUCUCCUUCCCCGUUCCCUCCCCACCCAAACGCAGACUGCAGAAUGCCUCUCCUCAGGCUGAGCUGUGCUGGAGGGAGGGAGAUGUGCUGCAUCGUUCCCUUAGGAAGCUGUGCAGCAAGGAGCAGGUUUCACACAGACCAAGUGUCUCUUCAGCAAAGCUGGGCUGCCAGGCAGGGGCUGAGUCCCCUGUCCUGCCCACAUUCUGGAGCGAGGCAUGGUCAGGCAGCACCGUGAAUUGUAAAUACAUUAGCCACGUUACUCCAUUAAGGACUAGUGCUGUGGAGCUAGAGGUUUUAUGAAUAAAGCACAUGUUCAGCUCUGUUCUUCUCUAUUAGUAUUUUGCAAAUGCAUGAUGAGGGACCAGCGAUGUCUGCCUGCUGACAGCUGUGCCAUGAGGGGCAAAAGGGCUCUCUGUGCGAGUAAGCAGAGGUAGGUACAGCCUAGCCUGUAAAAUUUCCAUUGUCCCAAAGAGAUUAUUUUCCUCUCCUACCCUCCUGUGGUUUCUGAGGCCCAGUUUAAAUGCAUACAAUGACAUAGUGUAGAUAGCUAUUUUCCAUACAUGGCAUUGGUUGUUCAGCAGGAAUCAUUCAUUGCUUUAAGGCAGUACUGGAAGGGAUUCUCUUCUACACUCUAAAAGAGAAGUGGGCAGGAUUAUCUUGGGUCACAUCCUUCUUCUAUUAGUCAAACGGUGAAACCAGACAUCUGAGUUGUUUCAGUCUGUGACCUUACCCUGUGCUUCCUGACAGAUCUCACAGCUUUUCUGUUGUCUCUAGUUUAUAUGCAGGAUUUUUCAGUCCCUCUGGCAAUCUGCAUUCCUUCUUGAGCUUUUCCUAGCAUCUUGGGCCUGUGGGAGAUCACAACCUUGCCUCGGUUCCUAUGUGUCUGCAUAGCUAACCACUUCACUAAUUCAAUGCCUUUCUCUGGACCCCCACCUUAGAGGUAUUCGUGGCCUUCUCCAGUGUUUCUUGAUGCUAUUCAACAUACCCAACAGCCUUUCAACUUGCAUUCCUCUUGGGGGCCUCCAGAAACAGAACAGUAGUCUCUAAUGUUUCUGGACACUGUGGCCCUUUAUAACAACCAGCAGUUUACACAUUUGUCAUUCAACUCACAAUCUGUUUUGCUGUUUCUGGCAUCUUACGGUUGCUCUCUCAUUCUCUAACAUGCUUAACCUUCUUUAGGCUCAGCAGCUGCUCCCAGAAGGUUCCUAAGGCUGGGGAGCUUUUCAGAUUCUCCCUCAUGCACUUCAGCAACGAAUGUCAUUAGCUCAGGUUUCUCUUUCUUUCCCGUUUCACGUUAUAAUACGUUUGUUCCUUGGCGUGUUUCUAAGUACUUCUGCAUUUUCCUUUAACAUUCCAUGAUCUCCUGCAGAACGUGUUACUCCCCAUUAAAUAUGGACGCUCUGUGACUUUAUUAUUUCAAACAUCCUUGUAAGCUAUACCCUGCAGUUGUAGCCUGUCUUCAUCAGACUGCAUUCAGCAACACUCCCUUGUUACUGAAUUCCCCAGACAGCUGACUGCCUUCUGUCCCCAGUAGUUCUCAGCCUUCUCUGUUUUUUAUCAUCAUCCUGGGGCCCAGUGCUUACAUUUUGUAACACUGUGAGGCUUUCUCAGACAGCUCCGUCGUGGUAACAUCUCCUCUGGUUUGCUGUAUCACCACAAGACCUUUCUUGACAUACAUCCCUUGUUCAACAUCUGUGAUGUCCUGCAGCACUACGCAGACUUUGCCUACAUCCUCAGCAACUCUCAUGGUUCUCUGAUGUCCCCUGGCUGCUAGCUGGCCCUGUUUGAUUUUCUCCAGCUGAACCACAGCUCUCUCGAGAUAUCCCUCUCUGUAUCAUCUACGAUCUUCACAGGCACCUCUGGCUCACUAAUGGUUAUUUCCACAUUUAUAUAAAGUUUGACUCAGGACAUUUGCACUCAUCUGGAAGUGCUAACAAUCAUGCAGAUAAAAACGACUCCAUUGUAAAGCAGCAACAUUUUUUUUAGCAACAUUUUUUUUUUUUUUUUAAGGAAAGCACACGGCUGUCUCAGGGAAUUCUGAGAGCAGGACACUGUUACAGCAUUUCCAGAAAUGUGCAUUGUCAGACUGAGUCUCUUCCUUAAACUACUAAGCAAGGUGUCUUAGGUACUGUAUCACAGUGAGCUUACUCAGUGUGUAAGGACCCUGUAAAGAGUAAGACUGGCAGAAUGCUGAAAAUUUGACCCAUGAUUGCAGUGCCUUUGCUUCUCUUUAAUAAGAUGGAUAUGAUCUUCUGAUGCAAAUCAAUCAAGUCAUAUUUUUACAAUACUUGAAAUAUUUGGAUGAUGGGUACUAUAGAAAUGCAGACUUUUGCUGUUCUUCUGUUAGACAUCUCUACCCAUAAUAAUCAAUACGAGCAUCCUGAGUUGGCCCUGGUAAGGCAAUUUUUACAAAACCUAUUUGAUGCUCAAAGUUUCCAAACAAGGAGAAAGAAUAAUUUUGAACAUGAUGAAGCUGUGGAAUUGGCUUCACUCUGAUAUCACCCCUCUUGAAAAUAUCUGAGCGUGAAAUAAUACUAAUUGCAUUUCUUAUUAGCUAUUCGUGUAGUAGCAUCACCAUCGCUGUACUCAUCUCUCUUGGUGUAAUGUAAGCUAACUGUAUCCGUUCUACAUGGACAUCAUUACAAAGUGGAUUUUUCUUCAUAAACAUUUGAGCUCUCCAUCACGUUUCUGUACUUUGACUCUCUCCUCAUCCCCGGUGCUUUGAUUCCAGUAAGAAUCCUAAAGUGAGUUUGUUCUUGUAGUUUGUCAUGUGCAAACAUGCACACUCAUUCCUGGUUUCCACUCAUAACGACUACAAAAAGAAUCCACGUGCCAUAAACUUUACAGUGGUGCGUUACAGUUUUACUUAGUUCCUUAGUCAACCCUGCUUUUAGUUAUUCCCAGCAUUGAGUGCCCUGUUUAACUAUGUAAGGGUACGUGCUUGUGUGCUUACUUUAUUUCUUUUGCUGCUUAAGUUCUAAAGCAGUCAACAGUACUUUAAAUAUGGAUUUAUUACUGCUUGUGUACCAGUGAACUGCAAGGGAGGAGAAUGUUACUGGGAACAGUGGGGUCAUUUUCUUUCUGCACGAAAGCUCUGUUUAGCAGAAGGGGAAGAAACCGAACCUGACGCCAGCUAUUUUUGCACUAGCCAAGUCCCGUCAUCAAAACUGCACAGGAACUGUGCUACCUUAACUCUGCAGUAGGGUAAAAUCUGCUUAAGAUUGCAGAUGUGUGCUUCCAUAGACCUCUGGUCCAUCCCUUUCCUUCCCUUUCUCCCCUCUCCUCAGCCCCUUCUGGGACAAGGGCAGAAGCCAUCCCCACCAGGUGGAUGCCAUCAGGUGAGCUCUGGGAUGGUCACUCUGUGACCGUUCUGCAGAAGCCAAUUCAGCACCUGAUCCGCAUUCAGUCACAGCAUAGCUGGGUUUGUUUUUUUUUUAUUGUGAAAGCUGAGCUGGACAUGGUAGCUUUUAAAACCUGGAAGAUUUUGGAGAAAGAGAGAAGCAACACAUGCUGAAUAUAGUUUCUGUCGCUCUUGCAUUGGGUGGAUGUUUGUUUUCCCAUUUUUUCCUUGUAGGAAUUUCUCUGGAGUGAAGGAUUUCCUUGUGAGUGCUGAGGGGCAUGGCUGGCUUCUUUCCAGGUACAGGCUGUCAUUGUAGCACAGAGACUGGAGAAUAACCAUAGAAUAACUUGGGAUCGAGUAGACCUCCAGAGAUAAUUUGCUCCAAACUCCACUCCAACCAGCACCAAUUAUAUAAGACUGCUCUUUGAUAAUCCAUCUAAGAUAGAUGGCCCGUGGAGAAAACAAAGCCUUUGGGUUUACAUUAGAAAAACAUGUCUUAAACUUCUCAUGAGCAUAAACCUCUCCUGAAUCAUUUGUCUUCCCAAGAAUUUCCCGAGCGCAGCACUUCUUCCUGAGCAGCUAACCACCUCUGACCGACAGCAGCAGCUCAGAUUCCUCCAAGGUGAGGGAGUUGGAAUUAAUUGUAAUGAACUCGCUUGCAGUGCGAAUGUGUUCCUUGCCUUGGCAGCACUGCACUGCAGUGAGCAGCUAGAUGAUCUUGCAUAAGUGCUUACAGCCAGCGCUCAUGGCCACAGCCCGGAGGAAAUGGGCAUCGCCUAGUAAGCAGUUUUUUCACUCUCUUCUUUCUAUACUCCAUAUUCUUGCUGUGAUUGACCUCAGUUUAUGGUUUAUACUUAAGAAAGAAAAAUAUUUUCUUCUAUCUUAAAUAUGACUAUUUGAAUCCUCUUGCAUUGGAAAGUACAUUCUGAGCUGCCUAUGGUUAAGCACAGGGUUGAAGGAGGGUGUUAGCAAGCAGGUUGAGCCACGGCUUGUUGCAAAAUUAAGUUUUUUAUUUGUCUUGCUUCGUAAUUUGCCUCGUGGUUGAAAUAGCAGCAUUACCUCUAGCAGUGCUCAUUCUGCCUUUAGCCUCUCUAUUGAUACUGCUAACAAUGUGAGCCAUCUAUUUUUGUGAGCGCCUUGUGACAACCGGCUCAAGUGACACGAGGCACCAAACGCAUCUAGGCGAGGCUCAGAAUAAUAAUGUACAGCAAGAAGUCUCCAUGUUCAAAUAGCAACUGCAGGUUAAUCUGGACCGAGUGUUUGUCCUUCAGCUUCUGGUCUGCAUGACAGCUAUUCACUUGAAAUAGCAUUUCAGUGGGGGAAAAAAAGAAAAAGGAAGAUGUCCCUCAUGACAGUGCUUUCAGCCAACCUUUGGAAGGCAUUGGUUUACCCUUAACAGGAAAGGUGCAGCCUCUCUGAAGGACCCAUCUCAUCCGUCUUUGGUACCCGUGAUGUUAUGAAGCAGUUUGGAGAAGUGCAGAAUGACUGCUCUGAAUGCAGCUGAAGUGGAGGAGUGUUAAGGAGAGCUAGGUAUAAUUACCUGAGCUGGAGCUCAGCCAGCACGGUGCUGAUCUGCGGAACAGGAAAGUCCUGACUCUGCACAAGGGAUCCAGGCAGAUUUGAAAGAAACUGCAAUAACACAGGUGGGAUUUGAGUAUCUGGGAAGGUAUUUGAGAGUGAAUGAACCCCCAGCUAUGACCUACCGGGAGCGUGACAGGAAACAAAGCAGCUAGAUCAAGAACAGAGGAGUAUAACGGCAGUAUAUGUGGCACAGGCUGCCUUAUACGCAGUCAGCGCUACCUGAUAAAACUGUAAGCAUUUAAGAGAACUAAAUUCUUGGAGUUCAUUUAACCCUCUACCCAAUCCGAAUGACAUGAGCACAGAGGAAAACAAGACAAGUUAUCUCUCUUUUGCCCUUAAAUAGCGAUGAAUAAGAACUGAGUCAGAGCUGAAAAUUAUGGUGCGUCCUUAAGGUAACACCAGGUUAAUUAGCCAUCAUAAAAGGAGAGCUUGUGCAGGAGGAAGGAUUUCUCCCUGCUGGGACACUCCUUGACUGAGGAGACCUGGUCUUACCUGGAAGGAUGUUACCUUUACCUCCAUAGUCCUUAAAGGGCAGUUAUUCUACCACUUAGCCACAAACUCCAGGCUGCUUCAGCACUGAGCAAGCUUUUCAUUUCUCCUUCAUUGAAACCAAGCCUUCGCAAAUCAGAAAACUGAUACAAGCGACAGAAGGAUGAUAAGGGGUUUGCUGCCAGCCGCGGUUCAUUUUAAGGUCCUCCUCUGCUUUUCGUUGUGUUUGCUGGGAGCUAAACGUGUACUCAGGUGGCUGCCAUUGAUCUGAUUGUCCGCAAAGCUUUUCGGUGCUUCUGAACUUUCUCUUUCAGGCAUUCUAAAUGGUUCAUCAGUUUUGUCAAAAAAAAAAAAAAAAAGGAAGAAAAGUGAUUUAAAAAGGAAUGCAAAUGGAAACGUGGAGAGCCGGUGGAUGGGAGCAGGGAAGGUGGCUCGGAAAGCAAUGUGAAAAACAAGGAAAUGAAAUGAGGGCCUGACAGGAAAGUGGGGCGUGAAGAAAUCCAAGCAGGACAGCAGAAGGGGUUUGAAACUCUGCCUUUUUCUCACUGGAAGGUUUUCUCUUUUCUUACUUUCUCUGAGCUCUUUUUUUCCCCCCUUCAGCUCAUUUGUUUUAUGCCAAGAGGCUUAUUUGUCUUUCCUGGCUUAUUGGUGGUGUAUCUGGAUUUAACCGCCAUGAUAAAUCAGCUCCUCCAAAGACUGAGAUCUCAGCAUGCAAAUGAGGAUGGAUUUUCAGCUAAUUUAAACUGAUACACAUCUGAUGAAGCAACGUUCAGCCACGUGGAAUUCCAGUGCUUGAGCAAAUGCAUAACAAUGAACAUGAUUCCCCGUCAACGUGUCAGAAAAAGCCAUCGUCUGCUUCUUCCAAAGAGAUUAUUUUCCAUUUGAAGCACACACCUAUAAAUGUCUGCAUUACGCAGUUUAGAAAGGUUAAGCAUGGAAAGGUGUUAUGCUGACACAUAGGCUCCAAGGGCUUGUCUUCUACUGAGCGUAUUACUUUUGCAAAGCAGUAAACCUUUCAUUAUUUUUAUCAGCCCGAAUGUGUUGUCCGAAUUGUGUUUGAUUUGCUUUCCGAGUACCGUGUGUGCUUACUCUGCUUUAGCCGACAAAUGUGAGCCAGGGUCAGAUUGCAAGCUCAGACAAUAGUCUGCAUUUCUCAGCACCUUGCAGGAUUUGGCCUUUCAAUGGUAUUUUUUCCCCCUAUUUAUUAUUGAACACAGAACGAGAGUGCCGUGGAAUGGAUUUGUCUUGGUCGCUGUUCUAAUAUAAGUGGCUUGGACUCUGCAAAAUACAUUUUAAAGGCAGCUUUGCUUCUGAUCUUAGGAAAAGAACUGAUGGGAUUUGGUUCAGCACCGCUACUUUAAAACAAAAAAAGAGAUAAUUAGAAUCCAAGUUUCAGUCGUGCUGCCUUAGAAAGCGAAACAAAAUCAGUAACAAUCCGAAAUCGUGCCCCUUUUGCUUCUUCUCGCUGUAGCAGAGAAUGCCCAGUUCCCUCAAACGUUUCUUAGUGGUGAGGAAUGAGCUGGCAGGAAGGACCUCAGCCACACCUCAGUUCCUUCGUGGAAAGCCUGGUUGCCUACUUUAACUCACCUCGAUUGGAUUUGCGACUGGAUUUGCACUGCUUUGAGGUGGAAGCGUGGCCUUCCUGCCGGGUACCCUGCUGAGAGCCUCCAUGAGAGGGAUGGAGCAGCCAGGGGCAUUUGGUGCUCCCCAGCAAUGCUCAUCCGUCGGGGAUGAGGGUGACACCUGCGUGGCAACAGUAAGGUAGGCCAGAAUGGGGGCAGGGCCUUGAACAGCAAAGCCAAUGAGGAUAUGUAUGUGUGGGAAUAACAGAAUGUUUUAGGAUCCAAAGAAAAAAAUCAUGUGGUGAAUGAAGUGAUAAUUUAUUGCAGAGCUACAGUUCAAAAGCAGUAUCUGCUGUGAAGUGGCUCACCGAUUUCAGACCAGGUCCUGGUAGGAUGUCGAUGCUGAUCAGGCUACAGGUUCUCAGCAUGGCAUGGAGCGGGCUGUUGUGGACAAGGCUGGCUCUGUCCUGGCCAGAGCCAUCAUGCUGGGCAGUGAGAGCUGCAAGGAUGAGGGCCGAGCAACCUGCAGACGCUGAGUUAUAAAAUCACCUUUCAGGCGGCAAGUGGGACGAAUAACCAAGACAAGCAGAAAAAGAUUUGUGUUUUUAUUGUUUUAUACCCAAGGUUCAAGUGCCACACCAGUGGUGCUUCAGCCUUCUGUUAUCUCUGAGUACAGGAGAACUGCAGCUGGAAUAAAAGUGCAAGGGCUAGGCUGAAUCUACCACCUGCUGCUAGUGUAACAAGCAUUAAACAUCUGAGGCCUGAUGCUGAGCUCCAGGCAGGGCGCCUCUGACUAACUGGUGUUCCUUCUUGCCCUUCAGUCCAGCUGGAGACCCAAUGUUUAGGCAUGUAUUUUCUCAGUUUGUUAUUCAGCUUAUUCCUGGCUACGAGCUAAAUACAUUUGUCCAGCAAACUGCGUGCAAUUGCUCCAGGAACUGCUGAGCUCCCGUCUUUUUGUUGUGCUGCUGAAAAUCAAAUUACAUAGGUCUAGCAACAAAGCUAUAAUUAGGGUCAAUGGAAAACUGCGGGUAGGGUAAUACUGUGGAUUCUGCAAUUUUUGCCAUGUUGCUCCAUAACAGGGCAGAACCUGGUAGUUUUAUUGCUCCACAGCGCAUUAACGCUGUCAGUAAAAUGUCCCCUGCUUCCUGCAGUGGAACCGGCCCUUCAGCAAGCGCAUUGCCUGGGCUGGCCUCAAUCUGUGGUAAUCUACCGGUGUGGCCCAACUGCGCUCCUCCUGAAGUCGAUGGCAAAGCUCCUAUUCGUUUCAGCAGGAGCUGGGCAGGUCUAGGCAGAGAAAAUAGGAAUGGAUCGGGAAGAUGAUAGAGCAGAGCUGACAGGAAAAGAAAGCAGGCUAUCGUGUUUCAUUAUAAUCUCUGCAGUUAUCACUGGAUUUCAUACUGAUACCACCAGGAGCUUUGUUCAUAGAUUAAAAUUAUGUUGUAACUAAUAUUUAAUCAGUACUUUUUUUUCUUCCUUCUCCAUCACAGGAAGAAAAUGUCUUCUCUAGGCUACUGCCACUCCUGCCUCUGGGUUCCUCUUCUUCCUCCUCUCUUUUUUCCUCAGCUUUUCCAUCAUCCUCUCAAUCACAUCCUUCUUUCAUCCAUUUCCAGAUCUUGCUUCUUGGUGGGCUUCUUCCUCUCCCCCUCUACCAUUCCAGCCUCCAGAUAAUCAGCUGUCGACUCACUAAAUACUGACUGCAUCGUACCAUUGCUGGCCCUCUCAGGCAGGAGAGGUUCAGCUCUUGAGAUCAUUCUUCGAGGAUGUCAGCAAACUCGGGUAAAUGUCGUAAGACUGAUGUCACGGUUGGAAGGCUGCCCACAAAUGGUUUUUAUCAAUAUUUCUUUAAAAAGAAUAAAGUUUGAGCUCUUGUGACUGUAGAGGUGGUCUGAAUAUGUCAUAUGGGUUUAAAUAAUUUCAAAGAUAAUGUGAUUUCCAAGAUUCAUUCCUCAUGACAGAAGAGGAAAAUAAGAAUGAAAAUGGAAAAGGACAAAAAGAAAGAGCUAAUUGUGGGGGAAAAGCGCGGAAGUAGAAAUGGAAAGAAAAACAGCCAUGGAGAAGGGUGAGAAAUACAGAGUGCUCACUUCUUUUUUUUACUGAAAAGUGUGAAACUAAAUGAAAGAAAAGAAACAAAAGCCUAAAGAUUGUAGGAAAAGAAAAAAAAAAAAAAGAAGAAAGACAAGUGAGAUAAGCUGGAGAUUGGGACUGAAUUCAAUUCCAGCCCUGCAGAGAAAAGUUCCAGCUAUUGAAUUACGGUCUAGAUUCUUUAGAUUGCAGCGUUGUAAGUGAAUAGAUUGGCUCUCUUCUGUGCUUACACAACACCCCCCGACUUCGGGCCUACCACCACACGAAGGCUUACUGAUGCUAAGAAUAAAAGGUUGAAGUAAUUCCUAUGCACUGGAUGACUCGGAGGAACCUCUGCAUGAAGUGGCAGAAAUAAAGACCGUAUUAAAAUGCAAGUGGUCAAAGCAGAUGAGCAAUGGUUGCAAGGUCAACGUCAAUUCCUACCCAGCUCCUUGUCACAUAGCACAAAUUUAAUCUGAGCUUGUCCAUUCUUGACUGAACAAAUGCAAAACGAUUUUCAGAGGUUUGGCCAAAUUGAGAGGCUCACUGUAUGGACAGCAAAAUGUACCUCCUUGAUGCCAGCAUUACUGAUCCCUUCAUACUUUAGAUUAAGGAUAUACUAGGAUUUCCUACAUAUAUAUAUAUUUUAUAUAUAUAUAUAUAUAUAUAUAUAUAUAUAUGUUAAAUUUUAAAGGCAAAGUGGUAUCUUUUUCUCCUAAGUUGGUUACUUUGGCUAGAAUUUUCCAAAAAUAUUGAGAUGAUGUCAAUAUCCUGAACUACAAUAAUAUAACGCUUAAUACCUGCCAAUGUUCUAAGUAGCUGAAAACAGUGACUUAUAAGGAAAACUAAAAACCUCAGCUACAGAAAGCCUAGUGUUCCUGAUCCAUAAUGUCACAAUGUACACUUACUUCAUAAAUUCCAGCCAAAGAGCACAGUUCACCCUAAAUGCAUUUGCCCUCUCUCGGCCUGCUGUGAGGGUGAGGUUACCACAAGGUACACAGCAGCAGGGCUCGGGACAUGGGAGGAGGCAUUCAGAACCCCACAUGGGAAGCAGGAGAGAGCAGCAGACCCUGUGGUAUCUUGGAUGCCAGUUUCAUGCUUAAUGCCAUCAUUCUCUCCCUGCUGGUUUCAUGAAUUAGCAGGAACUGAAGUGUAGUGUGUACAUUCCAGUUGUGCCAGGGAAUGCAGCCAUCAGCAAGGUCUCCCUGUGACAUACAUUGCGCAGACGCACACUAUUAUUUUCCCAAAGGCUUUCACGACUCGGGACUCCAUUUACUGUUGUAUCACUUAUGCCAGCAAUCGAUUCAUGCAUGACAGAGCCCAGCCUACUCAGAGAUCCUGAAGACUUGGAGGAUCGUGGCUUAAAAGAUUAAGUUAAAAAUUAACUCGUGGCAGCUUUUGCUGAAUUCACCUCACCAGCUGAUUUAUCAUCUAGCACAGGACCGUGGCUGUCUUUGAUUUAUGUCCAAAACAGAAGAGUGGUUUUUUCCAGCUGUUGUGACAUCCCAAGGCUAUGCAUGUGUACAUAAAAUGUAUGUAAAGGAGAGGAGCUCUGUUUUCCAAGUGUGAAAGGGAAACAAUUCUGACUCAGAGCAUACGUCAUCAGCAUCCCUUGCCCUUUGUUCCCAAACAUGGUAAGGAGCAAUAGAGCAGUUUGUGGGCUACAACAUGACAUCAUGCAAGAAUGCACAGCUCUCAUUUUUUUAUGCAUAUAUGUAUAUAACAAUCUCAGUGGAGCAUCUAAAGAAUUAAGGGUUAUGAAAUAUCAGGCAACAGCAACAUCUAAAAGGUAAAUGACACAGCGGAUAGGAAUCUCCCUUCAAAUCGCACAGCACAUGCAACCAUUCUGGUCUGUGACAACUACACCACUAGAGUUUUUUCCAUGUUUAUCCAAAGUAGCUUAGUAAGCAUAUCAUGCAUUCCAUUCACUGAGCGUGUGUACAAAAAUACAGGGUAUGAUGACCCUAAGCAGCAUCUGUAGUGCCUGCAAGCUUGUCAGAAAAGAGAAUGGCUGAUGUUGCUGCUGCUGUAAACUAUUUCAAUGAGUUUUUAUAACAGAAGUGGUAGAAAUAGCUCCCAUUCAACUGCGGCUAUGCAGCUGUUACUUCAGUGGAGCUGUACCUCUGUCACUUUGUUAUAAAAAGGUAAGAGCUGUGCUCCUGCUCUGUGAGCUAAUGAGAAAAGGUUGUCAAGAAUGGCACAAGGCACAUGUAUUAUUUUCAGUUUAGAACGAAUCCAUUUAUCUUUUGUGUUUGCUAAAAAGGGCGAUUUCAGGGUUUUUCUGGUGACUGGAAAAAAGUGUAAUGCAAGAUGCAGGCUUCCUUCUGUCCCAUAUGUCUUAAGUAUACAAAGCUUUUUUUAGAGAAUAGCUUUCUUUCAGGGCGAACUAGCUCUUACUAAAAAUAAUCCUUAUGAGAUCAGAUAAAAUGAGAGGAAUGUUGCUGGCACAUACUGGUACCUUAUUUACAAAAAAAAAAAAAAAAAAAAAAAAGAAGAAGAAGAAAGAAAGAAAGAAAAAAUGGCUAAAUCAACCUAACCCGUGCCUGUAGUACAAGGAAGGAGCUGAAGAACUGUCCCCAUUGCGCAGGAUCUUGGUUGAAGGCCGAGAGCUAUUUUGGUUGCUGUGGUCUGCGGGCAUGGAGAUGUAAAGCAGGAGGAACAAGGCCAGCACAAACAACCCCACCCACCCUAACCCCAUGGGACCGGCUGCAGAGAUGAGCAUGGCCAUGUGCUGGAGAUCUCUCAAUGCAUGGGGAUGAUCCAUGCAUCCUUCUGAGGCCUGGGCCUUCCAUCUCACGUGACUGUGAAUUUGCUUUAACCACAACCACAAAGCACAACAGGAUCCCUUAGACUCCUCAGAUGAAAGGCUUAUUUCAAGAUAUUUCCUGUUGAGUAACCGAUGCUGCUGCUGCUGAGAGGAGCAAUGCACAGAUGGCUGCACACUGAGUGAAGAGAUCGGGUUUUUGCACCCAGGACCAGGAACAUAGAAUCAUGGAAUCAUAGAAUCACUAAGGUUGGAAAAGACCUACGGGAUCACCCAGUCCAACCAUUCACCCAUCACCAAUGGUUCUCAUUAAACCAUGUCCUUCAACACAACAUCCAAACGUUCCUUGAACACCUCCAGGGUCGGUGAGGUAGGAGCUUUGAAUAACGCUGCAGAACAAUAGUGGAGGCCUUGGAGAAGCUGAGCUAUGGGAACACUGACAGAUCUUAUUUAGUGACGUGGAGCGGUUGGUGUUUUAGGAACAGGCGAUGUCUGAAGAAGCCCAACAUAAAGCUGACAACUAUUAAGAGGGUGAAAGCACAGGGAAGGUUGCAUUUACCUAAGCAUAACAGAAAGGGAGAAAUGGGGAAAGUUAGACCAGGAAGAACUUUCUGAUAGCAAAAUGUAUUACAGAUGUUGUAAGGUUGGUUUUUGAGCAAAACCCUUGAAAUAAUCUAUCAGGAAGAGUCCUUUACUGUUUUUUUCCUAUCUCUAUUUACUUUGCUGCUCUCCAGAAGAAGAGCAAUGCUUUCUUACAGUCAGUUAGAAACCCCAGCAUUCAGCAAGUGUUUGAAAAAGGCCACGGCCCUAUGAAAACUGAUGUUUCUUGAAUCUAGACUGUCCAGCAGCACUUUCUAGUGAAUGGUAUGCUCAGAAAGCAGUGGGUGGACCACAGUACCCAAAUUCCUGGCUGUACCAUGCCAGUCUGGCAAAUAACCAGUAUGAGUGGCUCAGAAAAACACUAGGAAAUAGGGAACAAGAUGGUUCUGUUCUGUCUGGGUCUGGAGGAAGCAGGAAAACAUCCAUCACUGUUUAUGUGAUUGUAUUUAUGAAACGUGGGAGCUAAACUAACAGAGGAAGUGGAGAACAAACACACAGCAGAGACAGUGAAUGUUGUUGGUAGUGGUGCAUAGCCCUGAGAGUGUGACUUAGGGCCAGUUGUAAGGAAUUCCUUCUCAAUGGUGUUAAGAUAAGAGUGUAUCUUAGUUUUGAAAUUGCUGCUAACUAGUUAUAGUAAUAAUAACGGCAUGUGUUAGUGUUGUAAUCUCUUAAAAGCUCAUUUCUUCGUGUCUUUUUAUAGAGAUGUUAAUUCAUUUGGCAAACAUUUUUGUGAUGUUCUUUCUAAAAUACUGAAGAAGAAUAUCUUUGCAACUGCUGCUUUGUAUAUUUUGGGUCUCAUGCAUGAUUUAUCACUUACUAAAUUUGAACUCCAAAUUAUGGAGUUGGCUUUAGCUAUUGCCAGAAAGCAUAAUCUGCAGUGCUGGAAAGGAGUAAAGAGGUUAUCAUCAUCUUACUCGAUUUCUACCUUUAUCGGAACAAUAUUUUUAAUGUAACUUUCUUCCAACCUCGUAGUCAACAGAUGCUAACUCACAAUAGCAAAAGUGCUGUCAUUUAACUAUAAUCGGGACAUUAUUUUUGUUGCAAGUUAUUCCAACUUUGCAGUCAGUGGAAACUAGCAAGCUAUAGUAAAAGUGUUGUCAUUCAUCUAUAACUGGGACAGUACUUUUAUCGUAAGUUAUUCCAACUUUGCAGUGAAUGGAAACUAACCAGCAAUAGUAAGUGUGUUGUCAGUCAUCUAAAAUAGAAGGGAGAAGAGAGGAGAAAGAUGGUUGAAAGACGGAACGUGUUUGUAAUGAAGUCAGAGUUAGAUAUUCCCGCUGUGUCACAGUGAGUAUUGCAGACAUGUUCCUUUUGUUUGUUUGUUUGUUUGUUUGCCCAUUGGAGAUAAACUACCAAGUAGCUUAAAACUGGUGAAAUUUGAUACAGGCUUCCGACUCCUUUGGCAUCUGUCUACUUGAACUGUGACAGAAGGACAGGGUAUGGUGCAGCCAGAAAUGCCUUGCCAAGCCAAAUCCCGGGCAGCAUUGAGGCCAAGAAGCAAGGUAUGCAGCUGUUUGCACACCUCAGUGCUGUUUCAGCUGGAAUGUAGCAGGUAACUGACAGCAGCUAUCCGAUAUAAGUGUUGUAGAAGUAGCUUGGAUAUGGAGGCUGCAGGGCAGACAAAACUUUAAGAGUAAUAGCUCUUUUAGGCAGGAGGCGUGCCUUUGUUUUCUUCAUGCUACAAGUGCACUGUAGGCACUUAGCAAUUAUUAAUAAUAGCUAAUUAAUAAUGGCUCAAAUCCUUGGCUGUAGUUAAGGAACUUAAAACAUAACUCAUACGGAGUUGUAAGAAAAGAUGGCUCAAAACCAUCUUAACCAAACCCUGGGCCAGCUUUGUGCCUGGACUUUCCUCCAGCAUAAGAUAAAGCAGCAGAGUACAAUUUGUUCUAAGACAUUAGCAAGGGAGAGCAAAGAACAUAAUGAAUGCAUUUUAUCGGUAAUGCGUAAGGAGAAUGCAGACUGGUGGCAAAUAAGACCAUUAGGGGAUAAAAGUAUAAAAUUAGAUGGAAAGUAAGAGAUGAGAUUGGUGUGUCACAGUG